AUUGAACGCUGGCGGCAUGCCUUACACAUGCAAGUCGAACGGUAACAGGUCUUCUGAUGCUGACGAGUGGCGAACGGGUGAGUAAUACAUCGGAACGUGCCCGAUCGUGGGGGAUAACGAGGCGAAAGCUUUGCUAAUACCGCAUACGAUCUACGGAUGAAAGCGGGGGAUCUUCGGACCUCGCGCGGACGGAGCGACCGAUGGCAGAUUAGGUAGUUGGUGGGAUAAAAGCUUACCAAGCCGACGAUCUGUAGCUGGUCUGAGAGGAUGAUCAGCCACACUGGGACUGAGACACGGCCCAGACUCCUACGGGAGGCAGCAGUGGGGAAUUUUGGACAAUGGGCGAAAGCCUGAUCCAGCCAUGCCGCGUGCAGGAUGAAGGCCUUCGGGUUGUAAACUGCUUUUGUACGGAACGAAAAGCCUCUUUCUAAUAAAGAGGGGUCAUGACGGUACCGUAAGAAUAAGCACCGGCUAACUACGUG
rnacentral:rRNA from 1 species